rnacentral:rRNA from 1 species
UAGGGAAUCUUCCACAAUGGACGCAAGUCUGAUGGAGCAACGCCGCGUGAGUGAAGAAGGUUUUCGGAUCGUAAAGCUCUGUUGUUGGUGAAGAAGGAUAGAGGCAGUAACUGGUCUUUAUUUGACGGUAAUCAACCAGAAAGUCACGGCUAACUACGUGCCAGCAGCCGCGGUAAUACGUAGGUGGCAAGCGUUGUCCGGAUUUAUUGGGAGUAAAGCGAGCGCAGGCGGAAUGAUAAGUCUGAUGUGAAAGCCCACGGCUCAACCGUGGAACUGCAUCGGAAACUGUCAUUCUUGAGUGCAGAAGAGGAGAGUGGAAUUCCAUGUGUAGCGGUGGAAUGCGUAGAUAUAUGGAAGAACACCAGUGGCGAAGGCGGCUCUCUGGUCUGCAAUUGACGCUGAGGCUCGAAAGCAUGGGUAGCGAACAGG